rnacentral:tRNA from 1 species
UCCCUGGUGGCUCAGAGGUUAAAGCGUCUGCCUGCAAUGCUGGAGACCUGGGUUCGAUCCCUGGGUUGGGAA